UUUUCCUUUUUAAAAACAUACAGCUGUGUUGCCAUCAUUUCUCUAUCCUGAGUUCCUCCAGUUCUGCCACAAUCUGAUGAAAUUCAAAAUCUGAUUCAUGUCUUGAUUAAAUGAUUAACUUCACUUUUUUGACACCACCAGAAGCGUAUAUGAGUUUGGACCACAUAGAAGGCCUCAUCCGAAUUCCUGAAAUUUUGAAGCUGUUUUAACAAGUCUUUGAAUUCCUGUCAUACCUUCUAUUUCCUCUCUUGCUGUAGGUAUGAGCUGAUUUUUUCUUUUUCUUCUACUCUACGGCAUUUUGCUCAACAAUGCAAAGUUGAAUACUUCUGGAAAGCAGUUAUGUGGCAAAGUUUUGUGAUUCGUUUGGACUAUGAACAAGGAGAGGAAAAUCCAAAGUCCAGCUUUUGUUUGGGGAUGAUACAGAUGGUGGACUUUCUGCGCAACAGAUGGCAUGUUAUUUUAAUAUGGACUUACCUACAUAAAGGGGAAUCACUAAAGAAGCAUGAAUUACUACAUAUAUCAGCACAAUACAGUCUCUGCAGAAGGCUAUGGAAAUAAACAUUUUGAUGAAAAUGUGACAUUUUACAUGAAAAAACCAGCAGUGUAACUGAAGUACAUAACCAUGAAUUAAGAGACAUGACAUCUCUUUCCAGACUAACCCCAUGUUGACAGAGCAUCUAGCAGCGAAGGGUAACUGAGAAUGCUACAGAGUACAACACUCUUGCCAUCCUGAGUCUAGAAGCAGUUGAGCCAUGAUGUUCGCAUAAGGCUGUGUGUGGGAGAAGGAGUUCUGCCUUCUGCAUUUAAUUCUUCUGCACUCCCAGGUCAAGGAGCCAUGGAGGCUGAACUGCAUGAAAGUAGUCUGCACCUGCUUGCACGGAAAUACCUACAGUCAGAAACAUUUUUGCAAACAAAUAUAAUGAUUUUAACUGCUUGGCUCCCUGUCCGAAGCCCUAAUUAAAUAAAAGUGCAGCUUCAUAGACAAUUCAAUCAUUUAAGGUGGCAUUGACAGUGGAAAUGAGUCUCGCACUCUUCUCUCAAGUCCUCCACUGAGCCAGCAAUGGAGAAACUGCACACCGAGACCAGAUUGGUAAGCUGAGCUGUAUGAAAACUGCUUUGCUUGCAUGACUGGGAGGAAACAGUCAAAGUUCUUUUAAGAUAUUUGUAGUUGGAUCAGUACACAAGUAUGUCUUAAAUUCUGCUUCGUAUGGCAAUGGCAGAAGAAGAAAAUACAAAACUUAUCACUACUUGGAGAGGUAAGAUCUCACCCAAAGUGGCAAAGAAUGCACUGGCAAUACUCCCAGUAUACACAAUGUUAGCUUUUGACUGCACCAGUUCCUAUUGCCCUUCCCUAAAAAUAAUCCAAGUCCUGAUGAGGUAAUAAAAACCAUCUCACAAGCAUGUUUCUCACUUUCUACUUGCUUUGUAAGAAUACAGAAUCAUAUAAAUAUUUCAAUUGGAAAAGACCUUCACGAUUAUCUAAUUUGACCAUCCACCUUACUCUACAAGUCUACUGUUAAACUACACUCCUUAGCACCAAGUCUACACGUUUCUUAAAUACCUCCAGAGACGGUAACUCCACCACUUCCCUGGGCAGCCCAUUCCAAUGCCUAAUUGCCUCUUCCAUAAAUAAGUUAUUCCCGAUAUCACAAAUUAAGCUCACCUGGAACAACUUGAGGUCAUUUCCUUGCAUCCUAUCACUUGUAACCUGAGAAAAGAGACGGACACUCUCUUCACUACAGCCUCCUCUCCAGAAGUUCAUAGAAUCAUAGAAUGAAUUGGGUUGGAAGGGGCCUCAAGGAUCAUCAAGUUCCAACCCCCCUGCCACAGGCAGGGCAGCCAGCCGUUAGAUCAAGUACUAGAUCAGAUUGCCCAAAGCCCAUCCAAUCUGGCCUUAAACUUCUCCAAGGACAGAGCAUCCACAACCUCUCUGGGCAACCUGUUCCAGCACCUGACCACACUCACAGUAAAAACC
ensembl:lncRNA